rnacentral:rRNA from 1 species
UUAAUACAUGCAAGUCGAGGGGCAGCACGGUUAGCAAUAACUGGUGGCGACCGGCGCACGGGUGCGUAACACGUAUACAAUCUACCUUAAACAGGGGGAUAGCCUUUCGAAAGAGAGAUUAAUACCCCGUAAUAAAUUGAACGGCAUCGUUUGAUUUUGAAAGCUCCGGGCGGUUUGAGAUGAGUAUGCGUCUGAUUAGCUAGUUGGUGAGGUAACGGCUCACCAAGGCGACGAUCAGUAGGGGACCUGAGAGGACUAACCCCCACACUGGUACUGAGACACGGACCAGACUCCUACGGGAGGCAGCAGUAAGGAAUAUUGGUCAAUGGAGGCAACUCUGAACCAGCCAUGCCGCGUGCAGGAUGACGGCCCUAUGGGUUGUAAACUGCUUUUAUACAAGAGAAAACCCUGGUACGUGUACCAAGUUGAUAGUAUUGUAAGAAUAAGCAUCGGCUAACUUCGUG